rnacentral:lncRNA from 1 species
AACGAUUUUCCAUUAGCCCCACCACCCUUCAUCCCUAAGGUUAUUUGGAAUGUGUUUCUUUAAUGAGAUAAUCAUUUGUUAAUAUAAUCCCAUCUAAGAAAAUAUAAAUCAAAACCAGUGGAUUUGAAAUAGAUUCAAUAUGAAAAACCAAAUUAAAUGACAACGGUUAAAAUAUCUACGGAGAACAUUCUAAAACUCACAGAAACAAAUGCCUAGGUCUGGGGCAUCUGGCUUAUUUUAUAAAGUGAAGAACUUUGCUUGACUGGUGGGAAGCAGAGAGGGGAAAGAUAAUGUCCCAAGUAAAAAGGCUGACGUCCAGACAAGAAAACUAGAGUGGAUAAAUACGGGCACGCCCUACUCAAACCCAGGCCUUUCCUCUGGACCCUGUGAUGCUUCUCAACACUGGCAACUUGUCAGUGUACCUCAGAGACUAUUCUAGGCGGAGAUUAAAUUCGUCCUUGGCCCUUAAUGUACUGGAAACAAGUUGGUCAGGCCAGGUGUCAGGCUGAGAAAGCACACAAGUCGUGGAGUUCCAGGUGUCGAGUUUGGCAAAGGUAAAUGAAGCGCCUCGGCAAAGGCGCGGGAACUGUAGCGUGCGGUGUACCUCCUCCUUAGCAAAGCUUUCUCAAUGCCUCUUAGGUUAGACCCGCCGCAGGGAUG